rnacentral:rRNA from 1 species
UACGGGGGGGGCAAGCGUUGUUCGGAAUUACUGGGCGUAAAGGGCUCGUAGGCGGCCAACUAAGUCAGACGUGAAAUCCCUCGGCUCAACCGGGGAACUGCGUCUGAUACUGGAUGGCUUGAAUCCGGGAGAGGGAUGCGGAAUUCCAGGUGUAGCGGUGAAAUGCGUAGAUAUCUGGAGGAACACCGGUGGCGAAGGCGGCGUCCUGGACCAACACUGACACUGAUGAGCGAAAGCCAGGGGAGCAAACGGG